CUCCAAAUAAAAGAUGUAUGAGUUCAGACUGCAACUUGCAAACUCCUAACGCUCCGAGGACAACAGAAGCAGAAGACGGCUUCAGAUCAUCCCCCAGAGACAACUCUCUUCUACCAGCAGUUUUUUAGACUGACAAACACUGUGAGCAACAAUACUGAAGAUGGCUGGCCUGUGUUGGAUGGCUGUGGUGCUGGUCUUCAGCCUGUCUGUUGGAAACACUAAGGCUAUGGAUCAGAAUAAGCUUGAAAAAAUUGUAAAAUACAUCCGGGACACGUACUCAACAAAAACCAAUAGCGGACAUAUAAAACACUUCAGUUUGGCUGUAAACAUCCUAGAGAACCAGGACCUGAACAGGCUUCAGGACCUCUUCAAAGCUGAUGAUUUGAAAAAAAAGGAAGUGUACACAAGUACCAAUGUGGUUACAGCAAGGCCUCUAAAGCAUGAGCAUGCAGAGGCACGAGUACUGGCCAACAUACAACCUUUAGCUGACAGUAGUGCGGGUAAAAGUCUGGUCUUCUAUUCUUACCUUUCUCCAUGUGGCCACAAGUGUACAAACCCAGAACAUGACGAUAAUAUCUUGAAAUUGAUUAAUGAGAAGUUUCCAAAAGGCCAAUGGGCAGAACAUGUUUUUGUGUUUUCCACAAUAUACAUAGAUCAAAAGAAUGAAUUGUCUGACGAUGAAAUUAGAGACGUCCUUAAGCAAC